UAUGAAGAACGUAGCGAAAUGCGAUAAGUAAUGUGAAUUGCAGAAUUCAGUGAAUCAUCGAAUCUUUGAACGCACCUUGCACUCCUUGGUAUUCCGAGGAGUACGCCUGUUCGAGUGUUAUGAAGCUCUCAAAACGCAAUUGGCUUAAAACCUGAUUGUUGUUUUGGAUUUGAACUUUGCCGUGUUAUAACGGCUGGUUUUAAAAGUAUUAGCUGGUACUAGAACGAAUUGGUUCUACUCAACGUGAUAAUUAUCUGAUCGUUGAGGACAUUCCUUUCACGAGGAAUGGCCAUAGUAAAUUCAAUGGACUGCUUCUAAUCUGGCUUUAAUUCUUUAUUGGAUUAACCACUUUUCAAAUCUGACCUCGAAUCAGGUGGGACUACCCGCUGAACUUAAGCAUAUCAAUAAGCGGAGGA
rnacentral:misc_RNA from 1 species